AGUGGCAGAGCCGCGAUUAGAUCCCAUGACCUCUGAUUCCCAAGCCCAGGCUCUUUCCACUGAGCCCGUUCGGGUGAGCAGGGAACGGAUCCACCAACUUGGUUACGUUAUACUCGUUUAAGCGCUUAAUACAGUGUUCUGUACCCAACAAAUGCGGUCGAUUGGAAAACGGGUGGGAAUAACACGAUUCUGACGUCUUCUAGGACGCCCAAGAUCAGGCCUGCCCACCCACUCGGCUGUAGGUUGGAGGAGAAACUGCUGAAACUCCACCUGAUCAGGAGGAAUUUCAUUCCAACUGGAGUGAUCAGUUGCGGCGUCCUGACUGGUAUUUGAAAGUCAAAAAUAGAGCUGUCUUGAAGAGCAGCUUAGGUUUGUAUGGGCUUGGGGGGCGGGGAGGGGGCUGGUAUCCCCUGGGACUUGUACUGAGUGUCGUGAGACUUGUGGCCUCUUCUAGACUGUGAGCCCACUGUUGGGUAGGGACUGUCUCUAUAUGUUGCCAACUUGUAGUUCCCAGGCGUUUAGUACAGUGCUCUGCACACAGUAAGCGCUCGAUAAAUACAAUUGAUUGAUUGUGGCCGGCUGCUGGAGGUGAGCAGCUCAGAAUGAUCUCCCUUCCCUGGGACGGGCCACUGUUUUGGUGGGAUGAAGUGUGAAGAGGAGGGAGACAGAAUGAAAGAAGAUGUGGGGGUCUGUGUAUCGGAAGGAGUGAUUCCCCGCGCCUGCUCAGCCCAGCGGAGGGGCUUUCCCGCCUGGGAGCACUUCCACCUUGCUCCCAGAGCCCAGUCCGGGAAGCAACAUUGGCACCACUCCGCUGUGGAAGCAUCUUAAGAGCAUGCAUAAGGUGGUGUGGGAGAAGACGAGCAAUUUUGAGGCUGAGCAAUGCCGAGCAGCCUUGAAAAGGAGGUUGAGAGAAGGGAGCGGGCUGUUAGCCUUAGCCAAAAAGAUGACUCACUGUUGACUUCCGCCCACUUUUCAGGUCCCUCUGCCCUCUUAGAGUACAUUGUAUUUGGGGAGGGGUGCUGAGGAGUACUUGGCAUUCUUUAGUGGGCAAAGCUAGCCUACCCAGGUCAUGCUGGCAUCCGAUACAAGCAUGACAUUUGGCUUAGCAUGCUGAUCAUGCUGCUGUGGGUAUAGGGGGCACAAGCCAAGAUUUCACUCCCUGCAGCUGGUGUACACGCCAAAAAGGAACUUGUGUCCCAUAGCGUAGCAUGAUGCAAGGGAAAGCAGUGAUGCGCUGCCUUUUCUGAGACCAUUAACUAUGGUAAGAGCCAUAAGUCCUCUGAAUUCUGGGGCUUGUUUUUGCUACAGCAUGCUAAACUAAGAAUCCUGUGGUGCUGAGCAAAUUGUCCCCUAAUUUCCCAGCCCCUUAUGUCCUUUCCACCAGGGUGCCGAGCACUCCAAUAUUCUGGCAAGUUGCUUGCCUUGUGUCUGCCAUCCCUUGUUAUAUAACAUCCCCUGAGACGCUUCUGGGGGGAAAAAACAUCCUGCAGUGAAAGCACUUCAAAAAGGCCAUUCUCUUUUCCUAGGGCAGCUUUCAAGAUUUUGUUGCUAAUCUUGUUUCACUGAAAGAUAGCAUUGUACUGCAUACUUUGUAUUUAAAAUGUAUUGAGCAUGCUUGUAGCUGAGUGUAAUAAACUGUAGAUUGCUACCUCUA